CCCCUACCAGGUACUUGUCGCGGUGCUUGGAUUGCAGCACGUGAGCCAGCUCGCGCAGGUGGCCACGGUGUCUCUGCUCGUCGGGCCGUGCGGGGAAGGCGGCGGCCAGGAUGCGCUCCGUCACGUAGGAGACUUUUGCGUACCACCUGUUCCCGCCUCAAAGGACUGACAACUGAGAUAUCCAUGUCAAGCUCAAACACUGCCACCCCCACCCCCAGCAGCUCCAGUCAGCCCAUACAUCACCCUGCUUUGGGGUUGGAGUCCCUCCCACUCCCUAGGAGACUUAUAUUAAGAAAAUCUGCCUCACAUUAAACUCAAGUCCCUGGCUUC